GAUGAACGCUGGCGGCGUGCCUAAUACAUGCAAGUCGAGCGAACAGACGAGGAGCUUGCUCCUCUGACGUUAGCGGCGGACGGGUGAGUAACACGUGGAUAACCUACCUAUAAGACUGGGAUAACUUCGGGAAACCGGAGCUAAUACCGGAUAAUAUAUUGAACCGCAUGGUUCAAUAGUGAAGGACGGUUUUGCUGUCACUUAUAGAUGGAUCCGCGCCGCAUUAGCUAGUUGGUAAGGUAACGGGUUACCAAGGCAACGAUGCGUAGCCGACCUGAGAGGGUGAUCGGCGACACUGGAACUGAGACACGGUCCAGACUCCUACGGGAGGCAGCAGUAGGGAAUCUUCCGCAUUGGGCGAAAGCCUGACGGAGCAACGCCGCGUGAGUGAUGAAGGUCUUCGGAUCGUAAAACUCUGUUAUUAGGGAAGAACAAAUGUGUAAGUAACUAUGCACGUCUUGACGGUACCUAAUCAGAAAGCCACGGCUAACUACGUG
rnacentral:rRNA from 1 species